GGGAAUGUGGCUUAGUGGUAGAGUGCUUGCCUAGCAUGCAUGAGGCGGUGGGUUCGAUUCCUCAGUACCA
rfam:Dipodomys ordii contig_18783, whole genome shotgun sequence.